UCCGUGCGAGCGUGUGUUUAGUCCCACAUCGGUUAUUCGCUGGAUAGAUCUUGGGUAUUUAUACAGGAUCAAGGAACCCAAACAAUACCUUCCGGCUAGCCAUUUUGGAUGAGAUCCUAGGUUGUUACAAAUGGUAUCAGAGCGGACCCGGCCCAUAACUUAUGUGGACUAGGGGACACUGCAGCACGGAUCCAUUGGGGUUGACUACGGACCGAUCGUGGUGUUUN
rnacentral:lncRNA from 1 species